AAUAGGGGGAUUUAGCAACGAGUACGACUACGAGUACGAGAUUUGAUCGCGUGCGAGGAAAUCACCGUGGUCGUUCUCGUUUCCGUUCAAAUGUUGCUUUUAUAGUAGUAAACAAACGAAAGAAAAGUUUCUAUAAACUAAAUCUCCUGCAGGCUAAAAUCCACUACAAAAUGUGCAAAUAAGUCAUAACAUUAAAAACAAGCCAGAUAUUUAGUACUAAAAGAUUAUUUUUCCCGGAUAAACGCUACAAAUUAUUUUUGAAAAACAAAAAAAAAAGCCAACUUCCAACUUUGCUUUUUGAAAAGUCGUCGUGAGGACUACGAGACUUCUCCACAACAAAGAUUAAGUAUAUAAAGAUGGCCGACUCGCGGAAAAUUCUGUCCCCAC